UUUUUUUUUUUUUUUUUUUUUUUUUUUUUUUUUUUUGGCAUAACCAUCAUUCCAUCAUCGUCUCCAUCCCUUACUCUACCUCAUACGACGUCAUAUACAGCGUCCCCUACACCUCCAUCUCCAAUCGCCACUGUCAACUCCAUCACCUCCAUGCUAAUGCGUCGUGAAUGAAUCAAAGAUUAUGACACUUAAAAAGCCAUCGAAGGCGCGUUUAAACCUAAUCAAACAUGUCUAAUCGCCGGAAAAAAUGGUCCCUAAUGGGACGUUAGUCCUUGAGACGACGGCGGCGCUGCGUGUUGCCGGACUUAGGCUUAAUGACAUGGUGGCAUUGAUUGAUCAAAAGCAGGGUGGAGAUAUUUGUGUUUAGCAGCUACUGAAUAAAUGGAAUUAGGUAUUUGUGGUGAAGUAAAGGAUUUUGUAAAACAUGCCCCUCUAGUUUAGUGGUUGAUUCGAUAUGAAGCUUAAACUUUUUAUCUCACAUACCAGUGUGCCAUGUCAUCUUGCCACGUAGGAUAAAAAGCUAACUUAGUUAGUGGGCUGGUUAACUCCGGAGUGACACAACAUACAAAGUGUUAAGUUGGGAGUGGUAGAAAUCAAAGUGAUAGUUGUGAGUUGCAGCGGCCAAUACCCAACAGUUAGGAGUGAUAAAAUCUAAUAACUCUUUGUUAAACUGCUUUUACUUCUUUUUUUUUCCAAAAUAUCUACAAGAUAUAAAAAAUAAUAGUAUAAAGAGAAUUAGGUGAAACUACAUUUUGCAAGAAUUAGGUGAAACUACAUUUUGCAAGGUUGACCAUGUUAAUCUUUGUUAACCUUGAUUAAUUCUUGAGUAGAGUGCAAUUUGCUAUCUUGUGGUUUGGUCAAGAUUUUCUGUUGAAACCCUAUCUUUCACUUUUUGCCAGAUGAAAUACCUUAAGGUGGGUAAUCCAUCACACCCUGCCACAGACCAUUAGUCAACCGUUAGGUUGACUGUUACUUUUAGGGGUAUGGAAGUCAUUUCAUCGAUGAAUCUUAUGGACCACACCUUAGGAGCACCCUUAUCUUCUCCCCUUCACAUUCUAACACCCUUAGAUUACUCACACACUCAUCUUCAUCCUCUCAUCGCAUUCACACACACCACCGUCGGAUCAAUGUAAUUCAAUGUGCAAAUGGAGACUGAAUCGAUCAUAGCCGGAUUGCAGGUGUUGGAGACCUAGAAUCACCACACGGCGGUACGGGUCACGGUUGUUUUGAGGUGGUUGAACGAUUUCGCGUUCAACCUUUGUGUCGUCUUCCCACCGCCACCACCAGAUCACCGCUAUCACCACCGCCGUCACCAUCACCGUUUCCACCAUCGUCACCACAACAAUGCCAUCACCACCACCAUCCCCGGUCUACCCUCACCACCACCAUCACAGAACCACCUUCACCAAGACUAGAGUUGUUCUUUUCUUUUGAUUAUGGUUUAAGUAUUAGGUACUAAGUUUUGAUAUGUAUAAUUUUUGCAACAUUAGGUUUGGUACUAUGUGGUUUGAUUAACUUUUCAUAUGUAUAAUUAUGCAAGUAACUAUGUUUCAUUAUAUCUAUAUAUAAUUAAUUUUUGAUAUGCA